rnacentral:rRNA from 1 species
AGCGAACGCUGGCGGCAUGCCUAACACAUGCCAGUCGAACGUCAGCAGAGUAAGUGCUAACUCUUGCGGCUUGCGAGUGAGUGACGCGUGAGGAAUCUAUCCGAGUCUCUUUAUUAGCGGGGCAUAACGCUGGCAAACUCAGGCUAAAACGACAUACUACCUACGUGUGUUUUCAGGGGAACGUCGCAUGUUGAGCGGCCGUAUUUCUGGAGGUCGGAUGCGCCCGUUGGGGGGGUAAAGGCCCACCAAGCUGACGAACGGUAGCUGGUCUGAGAGGAUGAUCAGCCUCACUGGAACUGAGACACGGUCCAGACUCCUACGGGAGGCAGCAGUGGGGAAUAUUGGACAAUGGGCGCAAGCCUGAUCCAGCCAUACCGCGUGGGUGAAGAAGGCCUUCGGGUUGUAAAGCCCUUUUGUUGGGAAAGAAAAGCAGCAGGUUAAUACCCCGCUGUUCUGACGGUACCCAAAGAAUAAGCACCGGCUAACUUCGUG